rnacentral:rRNA from 1 species
CCUACGGGAGGCAGCAGUAGGGAAUAUUGGGCAAUGGAGGCAACUCUGACCCAGCCAUGCCGCGUGCAGGAUGAAGGCGUUAUGCGUUGUAAACUGCUUUUAUAUAGGAAGAAAGAGUUCUUGCGAGAACAGUUGACGGUACUAUAUGAAUAAGCACCGGCUAACUCCGUGCCAGCAGCCGCGGUAAUACGGAGGGUGCAAGCGUUGUCCGGAUUUAUUGGGUUUAAAGGGUGCGUAGGCGGUUUAUUAAGUCAGUGGUGAAAGACGGUCGCUCAACGAUUGCAGUGCCAUUGAUACUGGUAGACUUGAGUGAGAUUGAGGUAGCUGGAAUGGAUAGUGUAGCGGUGAAAUGCAUAGAUAUUAUCCAGAACACCAAUUGCGUAGGCAAGUUACUAAGUAUCAACUGACGCUGAGGCACGAAAGUGUGGGUAUCAAACAGGAUUAGAUACCCUGGUAGUCCACACUGUAAACGAUGAUAACUAACUGUUGGCUUUCGGGUCAGUGGUACAGAGAAUCGUUAAGUUAUCCACCUGGGGAGUACGCCGGCAACGGUGAAACGUACGAAGUAGUAGACGNGAGAGAGCGACGAGACGACGAGGAGGGAG